GGUCCCUUCACUCCUGAAAAGUCAACCCUUCUCCUGAGCAGGUGAUCUGAUUCAUCCCAAUAUGUGUUCUGCGAUGACUUAGAAUCAUUGCGCAACCAGGAGGAGAAGCCAACGUACCGAUCUCAGCCGAACAGGAAGUUGGGUGUGGACUAGAUUACUGCACUCCUGAAUGAGCCUGCUCUCCAGAGACUCCCCAUUCACAGCGCAAGUGUUGUUCCUACAGUGCUGCAGUUGUGUUUAAAGAGAGAGAGAGAAUGAGAUUUAAAAUACCAUGAUGCGGGAACUGGCCAGAGAGUGGUAACUGAAGGGAAAAGCUAACUGAGCACAGUUGUGAAUGAAGGCACAGACACAGCAAGCAGCAGUGAUGCCAGCAGCAUCCUGGGGAGCAAGGCUCCUUCCUGCUCACCCACGACUUAGGUUCAGGAACCGUGGAAGUCUUGCCACUGACGGCUGCUCUACAACAAAGUGUGGGUGAGGACACUGGAGUCUGGAUGGGAGGGUUGUGGAAUACCUGUUCCCAGCUGGCUAAGAGUCGCGGCUGUCAGGAAGUGCCCGCCUGCAUCGUUUGCAGACAUGGAUGGGGUGCUACCCGCUCACUAAGUGUCCCAGAUGAUGUUGGAAGAAGUCACAGACAGGUUGCUAAGAAAAUAUACAUAACAGAGCAGCUCAGGAGAACAGCACCUAUCCGUGUGGCACUGGGAGAGUCGUCUUGCCACGGCAGGCACCUGUUGGCAAUUGGUUGGAUGGUCAAGAGUUAAACCAUCCAGAAAUGCAAGUAAGAAAGCCCUGUCGUAGGGGCCAGAUGG
rnacentral:lncRNA from 1 species